rnacentral:rRNA from 1 species
UGCGUAGGCGGUCUAAUAAGUCAGUGGUGAAAUCUCUCGGCUCAACCGGGAAACUGCCAUUGAUACUGUUAGUCUUGAGUUCGGUUGAGGUAGGCGGAAUGUGUAAUGUAGCAGUGAAAUGCUUAGAUAUUACACAGAACACCAAUUGCGUAGGCAGCUUACUAGACCGACACUGACGCUGAGGCACGAAAGCGUGGGGAGCGAACAGGAUUAGAUACCCUGGUAGUCC